AGUGGGAUAGCUGGGUCAAAUGGUGGUUCCAUUCCACGUUUUUAAGGAAUCUCCAUACUGCUUUCCAAAUUGGUUGUACCAAUUUGCAGUCCCACCAGCAAU
rnacentral:pre_miRNA from 1 species